rnacentral:rRNA from 1 species
GUCGAACGAGAAAGGGGAGCAAUCCCUGAGUAAAGUGGCGUACGGGUGAGUAACACGUGGGUAAUCUACCUUUUGGUGGGGGAUAACCCUGGGAAACCGGGGCUAAUACCGCAUAAUCUCGAAAGAGCAAAGGAGCAAUUCGCCGAAAGAAGAGCCCGCGGCUGAUUAGCUAGUUGGUAGGGUAAUGGCCUACCAAGGCUUUGAUCGGUAGCCGGCCUGAGAGGGCACACGGCCACACUGGCACUGAAACACGGGCCAGACUCCUACGGGAGGCAGCAGUGGGGAAUCUUGCACAAUGGGGGCAACCCUGAUGCAGCGACGCCGCGUGAGCGAUGAAGCCUUUCGGGGUGUAAAGCUCUUUCGACAGGAACGAUAAUGACGGUACCUGGAGAAGAAGCUGCGGCUAACUACGUGCCAGCAGCCGCGGUAAUACGUAGGCAGCAAGCGUUGUUCGGAGUUACUGGGCGUAAAGAGUGCGUAGGCGGUCCUAUAAGUUCCGUGUGAAAUCUCCCGGCUCAACUGGGAGGGUGCGCGGAAGACUGUAGGGCUUGAGUGUGGGAGAGGUAAGCGGAAUUCCUGGUGUAGCGGUGAAAUGCGUAGAUAUCAGGAGGAACACCUGUGGUGUAGACAGCUUACUGGACCAUAACUGACGCUGAGGCACGAAAGCGUGGGUAGCAAACAGGAUUAGAUACCCUGGUAGUCCACGCCCUAAACGAUGCAUACUUGGUGUGAGCCAUUCAUUUGGUUCGUGCCGGAGCUAACGCGUUAAGUAUGC